rnacentral:rRNA from 1 species
AGCAGCCGCGGUAAUUCCAGCUCCAAUAGCGUAUAUUAAAGUUGUUGCAGUUAAAAAGCUCGUAGUUGAAUUUCGGGAUUAAUUUAUUGGUCGUGCUAUUGUACGUACUGGUAUAAUCGGUUUCUCCUUUCUGACGAACUAUAAUGCCAUUAAUUUGGUGUUUUAGGGAAUCAGGACUGUUACUUUGAAAAAAUUAGAGUGUUUAAAGCAGGCUCACGCUUGAAUACAUUAGCAUGGAAUAACGGAAUAGGACGUUUGAUUCUAUUUUGUUGGUUUCUAGGAUCGACGUAAUGAUUAAUAGGGAUAGUUGGGGGCAUUAGUAUUCAAUUGUCAGAGGUGAAAUUCUUGGAUUUAUUGAAGACUAACUACUGCGAAAGCAUUUGCCAAGGAUGUUUUCAUUAAUCAAGAACGAAAGUUGGGGGAUCGAAGACGAUCAGAUACCGUCGUAGUCUUAACCAUAAACUAUGCCGACUAGGGAUCGGAUGAUGUAAUUUUUAAUGACUCAUUCGGCGCCUUACGG